rnacentral:lncRNA from 1 species
ACACAUUGAAGGAGAACCAGUGAUAGACUAUGAGAAUACUGAACCAUGGUUCACACCGUAUGGAUGCAAAACUGAGCAUAAUUACUAUGAAAACAAAGUGAUGCUAAAUUCAUGAGACCAAAUAUUCUGAAUUAACAUACAUUUAGCCCAUUGAUAUGACAAACACAAACCAAAGACCAAUUAAUUUCCAGUAAUCAAUUAAAACAUCCAAGUCCUUAAAUAUUACAAGUUUCAUCUAAAGUACCAUUGAACCUCUAACAUCCAAGCUAGACAAACCCAACACCUAAUACCAAAUGCAUAUGACUGGGACAUCCAAAGCAAGCUAGACUGAAUCAGGGAAGGAAUAUGGCAAAUGCAGCAACAAUCACAAUAAAAAAUACUGCGUUUCAUUCAAAACAUAUAGUUCAUAAACCUUUACACAAGACUCAACAAUCAAGCUCAAUUUCCAACCAUAGUUUCAGAAAGGGAACCUGUAGAUGGAAAGAAACAGAAGGUGAAGUCUCAGAAGUAACAAUAGUAUUAGGCAUCGGCAGAGAUGAACAAGAGAACCAGCUUUAAACAAAGGAAUGAUAUGCAACAAUCAACCAAAAUCAACCUCAACUUCAAACCAAACCUUUUUUUAAGAAAACACAAUACAUUUUGGAUCCCAGAUAAAUUGGAAGAUGUUUCAGAAUUCGAAAACUUCAAAACAUCACCAAAGAAAGCCAAUGGAACAAUGUUUCACUAGAAUUUUUUCAGCCAUUUGUUUUAUUUCUGGAUUUUCUCUCUUAUGGUAUCUCUAGCUCUCUAAGUUCUCUAAAGUCUAAAAAUAUAUGCUCUCG